rnacentral:tRNA from 2 species
GGCUUUAUAUUCAAUAAUGAUAUUAGACUGCAAUUCUAAAGGAAUAAUUUAAUAAUUAUUAAGGCUU